UCUCAGGCUGUGUCCCUCUACAGGGAAGCGCUUUCUGUUGUCUGAAAGAAAGGAAAGUGCAUCCUUUUAGAGUGUUGCUGUUUGAGA
rnacentral:pre_miRNA from 1 species